rnacentral:rRNA from 1 species
GAUGAACGCUGGCGGCGUGCCUAAUACAUGCAAGUCGAGCGAACGGACGAGAAGCUUGCUUCUCUGAUGUUAGCGGCGGACGGGUGAGUAACACGUGGAUAACCUACCUGUAAGACUGGGAUAACUUCGGGAAACCGGAGCUAAUACCGGAUGAUAUUUUGAACCGCAUGGUUCAAAAGUGAAAGACGGUCUUGCUGUCACUUAUAGAUGGAUCCGCGCUGCAUUAGCUAGUUGGUAAGGUAACGGCUUACCAAGGCAACGAUGCAUAGCCGACCUGAGAGGGUGAUCGGCCACACUGGAACUGAGACACGGUCCAGACUCCUACGGGAGGCAGCAGUAGGGAAUCUUCCGCAAAGGGCGAAAGCCUGACGGAGCAACGCCGCGUGAGUGAUGAAGGUCUUCGGAUCGUAAAACUCUGUUAUUAGGGAAGAACAUAUGUGUAAGUAACUGUGCACAUCUUGACGGUACCUAAUCAGAAAGCCACGGCUAACUACGUG